rnacentral:lncRNA from 1 species
UGAGAAAGGACAACUCUAACACACGCUUCUCUUUAACCAUGAUGUAAGAGUAUAAGAAUCAAAGAUAUUUAUGAAAAAGCCCCAAAAUAAUGUACAUGCAACUAUAUAUGCAAGUUGCAAUGAAUCAAUAAUAACUCACACAAGAAGAUACGCCUCCACCACAAAAUUCUCUAACCAUAAAUAGUCAUGAGGUGAUGUUUACGCCUUUCUUUUUUGAAGGCAAAGUUUGUAAUUGUUGUAAGACGAGGUGACAACUAUUUUUUAUCAAAGGCAUUGUCACUACUCACUAAUAUAGAUAUCUAAAAGUUAUAAAUACAUACUUGUAUCCAAUACAUAGUGAGUAGUAUCUACGUAGCUUUCACAAAAAUCACAUGCAUAUUUC